GGAGCCGUGCCUGAAUUAAGGAGCCACUUUGAUAGAGUGUAUCACGGGGGUUAAAGUCCCCCCGACUCCU
rnacentral:tRNA from 1 species